AGUUCUCAGUUUGCAUUAAAAGUUCUCAGUUUGCAUGUAAAAUUUUUUAAUAAGACAAUGAAAAUUAACUUGUACUGUAUCACGAUACAUACAUGACGAUACGAUAUACAUAUCGUGAGGCCUUGCGAUCAAUACAAUCGAUGUAUCGCUGUAUUGUUACACCUCUAAUUAAAACUGAGUGUUACACUGUUGGGUAUAUCUAUAAUGCAACCUACAUUAAGUACAUACAACAACACAUGAUAUCAGAGUCUAGACACACCUAAUGUCACAUGACAUUUGACAAGCCCAUCUUAUUAAAAAAAUAAAUCAGUAUCUGAGCUCAUCCUAAUGGUUGCAUCGUCAACAUAUUACGAAUUAAUAGGAUGAUUUUCUCCUAUAGUUUGGACUUUCAGUAGCAUGGCAUUCUCGGCGCUACGUAAUGGUGAAUACUAGUAGAUUCUUAUUGGUUAAGAAAUUAUAACAUCAAGAACUUAAAAUUAUUGUUGACAACGAUGAGGCGACUUAUGCCUCACCUCUGUGCCGUGUGAGAACUUUUGAUUGGCAAUUUACUACACCAGUUGACAUUUGGCCGCAUUUCUAUCAUAUGUAUAUUUCAACAGUGAAGGGAAGCAGUGUAAAUUUCAGAAGCAAAUUAGGUAACAUCGAGAAUGCCACACCUUACUGAAAGUCCAAACUAAUCGUAUAAUGGUCCUAUUUCUCAGAAUGUUCAAGGCAACCAGAAGCUUGAGUCCAUCCUGAACAUAGAGACAACACAGAUAUUAGCCAAGCUAGAUAUUGCUAGAGGAUUAGUCAAUGCAAUUCAGCAAGGACUAGUGAUGGAUAUGUUCCAGGUUCCACAGCUAGGAGAAUGUCAGGAAGAAAAGCCUCAUCAUUAAAAGUGUUACAGCAUCUUCAGAUGGUGAAAUGUCAAGCAAAAAGUGCAUUCCAAGCCCUCAAGAAGUUGUGUCAAGCCCUAGUCGUGAAGGCAUUCCAGAUCUAAAGAGUAGAAAUGGACCUAUAUGUAUGGUUUUAUUGAUGAAAAUAUGCCAUGCCCCAGUGACAAAGGUGAACCAGUUUCUAAAAAUGGAGAUGAAGCUUGACCCUGGAAAGAAAGCAUGUCUGUCUCUAAUGAUAGAGAUGUGACUUUAUCCAGGGACUGAGAUCUGCCAGUUCUAAAUGAAGGAGAUUUGCCAGGUGCUGAUAUUACUGAUAUCCUACAUGUGGGUCCCAUCUGCUCAAGGUUCCAAUAGUGAAAAAUCUUGGUUAGGAAUGAAGUGUCAUCAGGUAUUGCUUCUAUCAAGAAUCUUCUUUCUUUAGAAUUAAUAAGAUUAAAGCUUAAAUUAUUAGGGCCCGCAAGGAUUUGCGGGUGCCCUGUAGUAAUCACUCUGUCUGUCCGUCUGUCUUCUUCUGUCCACAAAUUUUCUGUUUUUUCCUAAUAACUUUUUUUAUGGUAGCCCAAUUAAGUUCACAUAGGAAAAUUUUUUUAAAAUCUUCUUCUCAAGAACCACUGGGCUGGGAAAGAUGAAACUCAUGUGAAAUUAUCCUCAGGUAGUGUCGAUUCAAGUUUGUUCAAAUCAUGACCCCCGGGAUAGGGUGGGGCCAAA